UUCCAUGAAUCCCUGGUGCCGCUUGGCUGACACCUAGACAAAGUCCAAAUAAGGCAAAUACUACUAAAAAGUUCAUCUUGUUAUGUUUCUAAACAGCAUUUGAAAAUGUGCUUUAUAUAGAAGUUCAUUACUAUCACUAAUUAGUAUAUCUAAUUGGCGUAAUAUCUGUAUAUUUCCGAAAGCGCACCUGCUUGUCUUAUAUAACGAGUAAUGUUAGCUGUAGUAGAGAGGACGGUGUUGAGUGAUAACCAAGUUACUAGUCUGCUUCUGUGAUAUAAGCCAUGAUAAAAGCCUCUGCCUAAACCCAAGGUGAUAGAGCAAGUUGCAGAACCCUUGAGCGUAAUUUUGAAGCGGUUUUUUAUCAGAUAUAAAAAUCUUUAUAACAUUUAUAUAGAAACCGCUGUAGGCGAAAGUGGCUUUUGGUCCAUUUCAAUUAAUGGGAAAAAAAGAAGUUGUUAUAUGUAACACAAAAUUAAAUUACAUUUUUAUUUUAAAUACAAUUUAAGUAAACUUUUUAAUCAUUAAGAUCGUCCAGAGCAGGCCAGAUAGUCAUUCCAAAAGCUGCUUGACUUACACCCAGGCAAAUUGAAGCGAAUAGACCAACAACUAUUAAAAUCUUCAUCUUGAGGUAUAUUGUAUGCAAACUUUUAAAAGUCACUAUAUAUACGCGCAAAAGUGUAACCAAUAGGUGUAAAAAAUUGUAAGUAACUUUAUCGAAUCCACAGAAAACAAUUAGAACUAUUUUUAUGAACGAAGAGAAUACGUAAAUCAAAUUAUACCAUGCAGAAUAGAAUUGUCUAUGACUAAAAACUUGCAGUAUCAGUUUUUGAAUCAAACAUUUUACAAUUAAAAACCCUUAAUGAAAACGUUUUCAGGGUGAUCCUUAAUAGAUCACUAACAGAUUUUUUGGUUGAACCUCAUAGUACUUUGACAUUUAUAGUCAGGCUAACGUGUGAUUCCUUACGAAACCUGGCUAACAACCGCACAAUCUUCAAUAUUAUAGCAGAUGUUAAACCGCUUUUCAUAGUGAUGGGUAAACGAUAUUUUUUAAGGCUAAUAUUUGUAAUGAAUAGUUAAUUGAAAGUUGACAAAAGAUCUGCAAAUAAUAAGCUACCAAAAAAGUUUCAUCCAAUCAAGCAAAAAAUGUUUUAUUGAAAACAAAAGCAAUCCAUAAAUUUUAAUCAAUAAGUUCAUUUAAGAAUGGUGCCGCUCGGCUUAGACCGAGGUAAAGUCCGGCGAGUAAUACGACAUUCAAUGGGUAAUUCAUUUUGGUAGAUUAUGAAAAAUAUGCAGUAAGUUACUUCAUAUAGAUUUAUGCCUUAAGUGAAGCUAAUUAGCGUAGAUUAAUAUAACUAAACCCAAUCCGAUUGGAUAAAGCGUGCAAAUUUUUGGUAUACAAAAAGUAAAAAAGUUUACAAACUCAAUGUAAGCUUAAAAGCAAACUUCAGAAAAGAAACGGGUCUAAAAUCAUUUCUAAAAACUAAAGGGAAAAUUUGAGAUUUCAAGUUUUUCUAACGGUAGUUUUGACAGCAGUCGUGAUCCAAUCCAGAGAAGAUGGUACCUAAUUAGUAAGAAAUAAUUAGAGGUACUUCAUGUAUUUCACUAAAAAACAGGACUAUGCCACAUAAAGGAACACUAAUUUGAGAUUAGCAUUAAUAACAGUAGAUAAAAUUCACUCAAAAAAAAGAAUGUUUCCUGUGUUAGAUCUUUAAUGAAGAGCUUAAAAUAUACAAAUUAUAAAUAAUA